UACGUAGGGUGCGAGCGUUGUCCGGAAUUACUGGGCGUAAAGAGUUCGUAGGUGGUUUGUCGCGUUGUUCGUGAAAACCGGGGGCUUAACCCUCGGCGUGCGGGCGAUACGGGCAGACUUGAGUACUGCAGGGGAGACUGGAAUUCCUGGUGUAGCGGUGGAAUGCGCAGAUAUCAGGAGGAACACCGGUGGCGAAGGCGGGUCUCUGGGAGUAAGCUGACGCGUGAGGAGCGAAAGCGUGGGGUAGCGAACAGG
rnacentral:rRNA from 1 species